GCCCCCGUAGCGUAAUGGAUAGCGUUAUCGCCUUCGGAGCGAUAGGUGCAAGUUCGACUCUUGCCGGGGGCAC
rnacentral:tRNA from 1 species